GACGAACGCUGGCGGCGUGCUUAAUACAUGCAAGUCGAGCGAGGUUACUGUUUCGGAUCCCUUCGGGGUGAAGAAGCUUUAACCUAGCGGCGGACGGGUGAGUAACGCGUGGGUAACCUACCCCAAAGUCCGGGAUAACAGCGGGAAACCGCUGCUAAUACCGGAUGCCUUUACCUUGGGGCAUCUUGAGGUAAAGAAAGGUAACGCUUUGGGAUGGGCCCGCGUCCCAUUAGCUAGUUGGUGAGGUAACGGCUCACCAAGGCGACGAUGGGUAGCCGGCCUGAGAGGGUGGACGGCCACACUGGGACUGAGACACGGCCCAGACUCCUACGGGAGGCAGCAGUAGGGAAUAUUGCGCAAUGGACGGAAGUCUGACGCAGCGACGCCGCGUGAGCGAUGAAGGUCUUCGGAUCGUAAAAGCUCUGUCCUUGGGGAAGAAGGUCUUCGGACUUGACGGUACCCAAGAAGAAAGCCCCGGCUAACUACGUG
rnacentral:rRNA from 1 species